CCUACGGGCGGCAGCAGUGGGGAAUAUUGGGCAAUGGGCGCAAGCCUGACCCAGCAACGCCGCGUGAAGGAAGAAGGCUUUCGGGUUGUAAACUUCUUUUCUCAGGGACGAAGCAAGUGACGGUACCUGAGGAAUAAGCCACGGCUAACUACGUGCCAGCAGCCGCGGCAAUACGUAGGUGGCAAGCGUUAUCCGGAUUUACUGGGUGUAAAGGGCGUGUAGGCGGGGACGUAAGUCAGAUGUGAAAACCACGGGCUCAACCUGUGGCCUGCAUUUGAAACUGUGGUUCUUGAGAACUGGAGAGGCAGACGGAAUUCCUGGUGUAGCGGUGAAAUGCGUAGAUAUUAGGAAGAACACCAGUGGCGAAGGCGGUCUGCUGGACAGCAACUGAUGCUGAGGCGCGAAAGCGUGGGGAGCAAACAGGAUUAGAUACCCUUGUAGUC
rnacentral:rRNA from 1 species